CUGAAUCAUCCCCCUUAGUAUUUGUUACGAUGUCACUUACACCCUGUACAGUCAUGAGCAAUAUAAUGUACCCACUUUAGGACUCUGUCGCACUAACAUAUUUGACAUUUAGUGAGACUUACAGUACAA